ensembl:rRNA 5S_rRNA 5S ribosomal RNA
CUCUAUGGCCAUACCACCCUGAACCUGCCUGAUGCCGUCUGAUUUUGGAAGCUAAGCAGGGUCGGGCCUGGUUAGUAGUUGGAUGGG